GUGCCAGCAGCCGCGGUAAUACGUAGGUGGCAAGCGUUGUCCGGAUUUAUUGGGUUUAAAGGGUGCGUAGGCGGUCUAUUAAGUCAGCGGUGAAAUACUCCAGCUUAACUGGAGGGGUGCCAUUGAUACUGAUGGACUUGAGUCAAGUCGAGGUAGGCGGAAUUGACGGUGUAGCGGUGAAAUGCUUAGAUAUCGUCAAGAACACCAAUAGUGAAGACAGCUUACUGGGCUUAAACUGACGCUGAGGCACGAAAGUGUGGGGAUCAAACAGGAUUAGAAACCCCCGUAGUCC
rnacentral:rRNA from 1 species